AACGAACGCUGGCGGCAGGCCUAACACAUGCAAGUCGAACGCUCCAGCAAUGGAGAGUGGCAGACGGGUGAGUAACGCGUGGGAACCUUCCCUAUGGUUCGGAAUAGCCCAGGGAAACUUGGGGUAAUACCGGAUAAGCCCUUCGGGGAAAGGAUUUAUCGCCAUUGGAUGGGCCCGCGUCGGAUUAGCUAGUUGGUGAGGUAACGGCUCACCAAGGCGACGAUCCGUAGCUGGUCUGAGAGGAUGAUCAGCCACACUGGGACUGAGACACGGCCCAGACUCCUACGGGAGGCAGCAGUGGGGAAUCUUGCGCAAUGGGCGAAAGCCUGACGCAGCGACGCCGCGUGAGGGA
rnacentral:rRNA from 1 species